AUACUCUGGUUUCUCUUCAGAUCACAUAAAUAUUUUGCUUUUUACUAAAGAUUUUUGUGGAGAGGAACAAUUCUGAGUUUUAUCUCAAUUUUUUGAGCCCUUGUCUUAGCAGGGGU
rnacentral:snRNA from 1 species